UUCUUCUUCUUCUUUUUAAUAAUGGCUCCUUGGUGAGUUGCCAAUAUCAGCGUGAUUAAUGUAAAAUUAAAU